rnacentral:rRNA from 1 species
GACGAACGCUGGCGGCGUGCUUAACACAUGCAAGUCGAACGGAAAGGCCCUGCUUUUGUGGGGUGCUCGAGUGGCGAACGGGUGAGUAACACGUGAGUAACCUGCCCUUGACUUUGGGAUAACUUCAGGAAACUGGGGCUAAUACCGGAUAGGAGCUCCUGCUGCAUGGUGGGGGUUGGAAAGUUUCGGCGGUUGGGGAUGGACUCGCGGCUUAUCAGCUUGUUGGUGGGGUAGUGGCUUACCAAGGCUUUGACGGGUAGCCGGCCUGAGAGGGUGACCGGCCACAUGGGGACUGAGAUCGGGCCCAGACUCCUCCGGGAGGCAGCAGUGGGGAAUAUUGCACAAGGGGCGGAAGCCUGAUGCAGCAACGCCGCGUGCGGGAUGAGGGCCUUCGGGUUGUAAACCGCUUUCGCCUGUGACGAAGCGUGAGUGACGGUAAUGGGUAAAGAAGCACCGGCUAACUACGUG